rnacentral:rRNA from 1 species
UCGACCUUAGUUGCCAGCAUUCAGUUGGGCACUCUAAGGUGACUGACGGCUAAAAGUCGGAGGAAGUGGGGAUGACGUCAAAUCAUCAUGCCCCUUAUGACCUGGGCUACACACGUGCUACAAUGGGCGGUACAAAGGGUCGCGAACCCGCGAGGGGGAGCCAAUCCCAAAAAGCCGCUCUCAGUUCGGAUUGCAGGCUGCAACUCGCCUGCAUGAAGCCGGAAUCGCUAGUAAUCGCGGAUCAGCAUGCCGCGGUGAAUACGUUCCCGGGCCUU